GAGGCCUAAGAAGAAGAUCAAGUAGAUGGUGAUUUUGAAUUUCUGUCAGCAUGUAGUUGCUCAUGUUGAGAAACGGAUUAGAUUUGCUUGUUCAAUUUUAUCCUAAAAACUUUGAUGAAUUUGUGUUUUAUUUGUAUCAAAGAUUUUGAUCAUCUUUCUGUGUUAUAUUUUCCCAAGUGUUCCAAGAACAUCACACACAAUAGAUGUCUUGUUGACUUCCUAAUCGUAAUUUCAA
rnacentral:misc_RNA from 1 species